GGCUACAGAAAUUGGAGGAGCAUCCUUAGAUGACACAAUACAACCAGCUGUGCGAUUCCUCAUGUCCCAUGAACUGGAAGUCCAGUUCAACCUUUUUGGCCAACAUUGGAAACAAGCUCUUGGACCUGCGUCUCUUUGAUGUUUUGUAUGGGGACUUAAAAGAAAUUAUCCAUCUACAGAAUCACACAAGCAUACAGCAAAGACUCUCGAAGUGGUUUACUGGAGCCCGAGUGGAAGUGGAAAUAGACUAGAGAGACUGCCAGUUCAAACUCAGGUUGGGGAGGUCUUUCAAGAUGGACAGUUUCAGUAAAGUAUGAGAGAUUUCAAAUUUAAGCAUGCAUAUGGCAUGUAGGUUAUUUUUAAAAAUGUUUAACAAAAAUGUAUUGUGAAAGAUCUAUAUAGGUGUGUAUAUUCACAUUGUGUGUAUCAAUGUGAAUAUACGUGUAUAAAGUUAUAUAGAUAGUAUUUAGAUGUAUACAUUUAUAGACCUGUAGGAAAAUAUGUAGGUGUCUUUAUUUGUGUGCAUCUAUAGAUAUAUAUUUAUAGAUCUGUUUAUAAGUUUGUUAUAGUAAACUAGCUUCUGUUAUUUUCAAAGAUGUCGUGAAUAAUUGCAGAUUUCUUUUUGUGGCACCAUUCCCUGAGUAUUAAUGAAGUUCUAAUAAUUGCUGUAGUGAGGUAAAAAAUAACUCCUGACAAUAUUUUAAAUUACUAAAUAAAAGCCUUGAGCAAAAUAAA